rnacentral:rRNA from 1 species
CCUACGGGUGGCUGCAGUGAGGAAUAUUGGUCAAUGGCCGAGAGGCUGAACCAGCCAAGUCGCGUGAGGGAAGAAUGUCCUAUGGAUUGUAAACCUCUUUUGUCAGGGAGCAAAGUCACCCACGUGUGGGUGUUGGAGAGUACCUGAAGAAAAAGCAUCGGCUAACUCCGUGCCAGCAGCCGCGGUAAUACGGAGGAUGCAAGCGUUGUCCGGAAUCAUUGGGCGUAAAGAGUUCGUAGGCGGUAUGUUAAGUCUGGUGUUAAAUGCAGAAGCUCAACUUCUGUUCGGCACUGGAUACUGGCAAACUAGAAUGCGGUAGAGGUAAAGGGAAUUCCUGGUGUAGCGGUGAAAUGCUUAGAUAUCAGGAGGAACAUCGGUGGCGUAAGCGCUUUACUGGGCCGUAAUUGACGCUGAGGAACGAAAGCCAGGGUAGCAAAUGGGAUUAGAUACCCUAGUAGUC